ensembl:rRNA 5S_rRNA 5S ribosomal RNA
GCUUACGGCCACACCACCCUGAGCACGCCCGAUCUCGUCCGAUCUAGGAAGCUAAGCAGGGUCGGGCCUGGUUAGUACUUGGAUGGGAGACCGCCUGGGAAUACCAGGUGCUGUAAGCU